UCAUGGCCUUUAGUCUACCGGGGCUACACACGUACUACAAUGGUGGGUACAAAGGGCAGCGAAACCGCGAGGUCGAGCGAAUCUCAAAAAACCCAUCAUAGUCCGGAUUGCAGUCUGCAACUCGACUGCAUGAAGUUGGAAUCGCUAGUAAUCCCGGAUCAGCAUGCCGGGGUGAAUACGUUCCCGGGCCUU
rnacentral:rRNA from 1 species